AGUGAACGCUGGCGGUGGGCCUAACACAUGCAAGUCGAACGGCAGCACAGUAAGAGCUUGCUCUUACGGGUGGCGAGUGGCGGACGGGUGAGGAAUACAUCGGAAUCUACUUUUUCGUGGGGGAUAACGUAGGGAAACUUACGCUAAUACCGCAUACGACCUACGGGUGAAAGCAGGGGAUCUUCGGACCUUGCGCGAUUGAAUGAGCCGAUGUCGGAUUAGCUAGUUGGCGGGGUAAAGGCCCACCAAGGCGACGAUCCGUAUCUGGUCUGAGAGGAUGAUCAGCCACACUGGAACUGAGACACGGUCCAGACUCCUACGGGAGGCAGCAGUGGGGAAUAUUGGACAAUGGGCGCAAGCCUGAUCCAGCCAUACCGCGUGGGUGAAGAAGGCCUUCGGGUUGUAAAGCCCUUUUGUUGGGAAAGAAAAGCAGCAGGUUAAUACCCCGCUGUUCUGACGGUACCCAAAGAAUAAGCACCGGCUAACUUCGUG
rnacentral:rRNA from 1 species